UACGGAGGGUGCAAGCGUUAUCCGGAUUCACUGGGUUUAAAGGGUGCGUAGGUGGGUAGGCAAGUCAGUGGUGAAAUCUUCGGGCUUAACCCGGAAACUGCCAUUGAUACUAUUUAUCUUGAAUACUUUGGAGGUAAGCGGAAUAUGUCAUGUAGCGGUGAAAUGCUUAGAUAUGACAUAGAACACCAAUUGCGAAGGCAGCUUACUACACAGUUAUUGACACUGAGGCACGAAAGCGUGGGGAUCAAACAGG
rnacentral:rRNA from 1 species